AUGACCACUAUCCGCACACUUCUCGCUGUAGCCUCUGUUCGCCAUUGGUCCGUGUCUCAGCUUGAUGUUAAGAAUGCCUUUCUUAACGGUGAGUUGCGUGAGGAGGUUUAUAUGCAACCACCACCUGGGUAUUCUGUUCCUGAUGGCAUGGUUUGUCAUCUUCGUUGCUCUCUAUAUGGUCUCAACCAAGCCCCUCGCGCUUGGUUUUGGUUUGAGCGUUCUGCCUCUGUGGUGACUGCAGCUGGUUUUUCUCCCAGUGCUCAUGAUCCAGCGUUGAGGGCAGGCCUGGCGCAGUGGUGA
rnacentral:rRNA from 1 species